CAUUUGCGUUGAGCUCGCCUCUGUGAACAAGAAGCGAGAGGUAGCGCGCGAGAGAUCACUGUGGCAAGAUGUUGCGUUUUAUUCUCACCCUGACCAUCUGCAUCAGCAACGUAUAUCAGCUGUCUGCAAGCGAAGGUUACGAUAGCCAUCCUGUGACAAAUAGUGGAGAUGCUGAGAGAUUGCUAAGAACUAGAAACACGUAUUUCGGCCUCACUUCCAACCAGUACGACCGCCAUUUCGACAAAGUUGCUCAACAUCAGCCGCGCGGCUACGAUGUUGGUUGGACUGUAAUACUCGCUCAGCUAUGUAAGGGUCUAC